UGGGGAAUAUUGCACAAUGGGCGCAAGCCUGAUGCAGCCAUGCCGCGUGUGUGAAGAAGGCCUUCGGGUUGUAAAGCACUUUCAGCGAGGAGGAAGGUGGUGGACUUAAUACGUUCAUCAAUUGACGUUACUCGCAGAAGAAGCACCGGCUAACUCCGUGCCAGCAGCCGCGGUAAUACGGAGGGUGCAAGCGUUAAUCGGAAUUACUGGGCGUAAAGCGCACGCAGGCGGUUUGUUAAGUCAGAUGUGAAAUCCCCGGGCUCAACCUGGGAACUGCAUUUGAAACUGGCAAGCUAGAGUCUCGUAGAGGGGGGUAGAAUUCCAGGUGUAGCGGUGAAAUGCGUAGAGAUCUGGAGGAAUACCGGUGGCGAAGGCGGCCCCCUGGACGAAGACUGACGCUCAGGUGCGAAAGCGUGGGGAGCAAACAGAUUAGAUACCCUGGUAGUCCACGCUGUAAACGAUGUCGAUUUUGGAGGUUGUGCCCUUGAGGCGUGGCUUCCGGAGCUAACGCGUUAAAUCGACCGCCUGGGGAGUACGGCCGCAAGGUUAAAACUCAAAUGAAUUGCGGGUCUAGCUGUUCC
rnacentral:rRNA from 1 species